AGACGCUUGCUUCUUGGUGCCUGUAGAGGGAGCUGCAGUGACAGCGCAGCACACAGCUCCUCUCAGGAGGUACUGUACUUAUACGUGAGGUGAAAGAGAAAAAGGCUGGUGAUGGUGAGGGCACUGGGUAGGCAGUGGAUGUGUCCAAUACUCUCACUGAAUCCAGCUGUUGUGUCAGCCGGUUGUGAAGUGAAAGGAUUACCAUGUUUAGUGUGAAGGAGGAAGAAAAAGAAACUGUAUUAUUAAAGAGGCAAAUCUGUAUUUUACUUGGAUGCUUACAAAUAAUCCUUUUGUUUCUUGACGGUCCUUGUAGCUAAGACAAACACAUUUGCAAAAGUAUCAUGUAGCUUCUGUUAAAGGUACAGUACGACUACGAACACAGCUUGUCCUUUUGUAAAAGCAUAAGACUAACAAUAAAAACAAGUCACUAUAAUGCAGUGGAUUUCAAGCUGUUACCUUCACUGUAACAGCAAAAAGAAAUAAAUCUGCACAGGAUAUAACGAUUUCAGUUCAGUGAA